AUGCCUCACGCUGCUCUCGCCACUUCCGUUACUGAGAGGAUCGACCCUCGAAGAAAAAUGUUUCUGUUGCUGCAACUGAUCCUCUCCUUCCACCAAGCGACCUCGGUAGCGAUCCACCAGACUCCGGCUUUAUCCACAUCUCCCGGCCAGAAUGUGAAACUGAAUUGUUCCAUCGAGGGCAGAAGCAGCAGCAGAAAUUAUUACUUAUUCUGGUACAGACAAUACCAAGGAGAGGGGUUUGAGAACAUGUUUUACUCCACAGUAGCCAAGAGCGUGCAGCCAGGGGUAUCGGUGAACGGUUUUACGGCAGAGAGGCCGACGAGCAACGAGUUCUACCUGAAGACCGACCACCUAGAGGCGGAUUCGUCGGCCGUGUAUUUCUGUGCCUGGAGCGAUCACAGCGACUCAAGCGGACGGAGGAGCUGA